GCAGGGUCUGAUCUCUGCACCCCGGGCCCCCGCGCAGACCCGCGGACGAGCGCUGGGUGGGGAUUUCAACCUGCUCCAGCUGAUGUGCGCGGGGUUUGCACCCCGGGGAGGCGAGGGAGAGAGUCCGGCCACGUCCUGCCAGGCCCCGCCCGCGCCCCCGCUGCCCUCCAGCGCGGAACCCAGGUCCCAGGAGACGCGAGGCGCCCAAGGCCCCGGGAUUCCGAGCCAGUCAACCCCGGGCCGCGACGCUCUGGGAACCACACCCGUCCAGGAAGGCACCUUGGCCAAAGCCGGCUCCUUCGCAGAUGACCCGGGCCAGGGUCCGAGCGCCAGGCUGUGACCCCGCGAGGCUGUUCCACGCUGGCCGCGAGAGACGGAGGGCAGGAGGGGCCCGAAUAGGACAGAGAGAGAGAGAGAGAGAGACAGAAGGAGGCGCACGCGCUCCCCAGGGACCGGGACGCGGUGGUGGGCGGGACCUCGCGGGGGUGGGGGGUGGUCGCAGGACCCAGAAGGCUCAGGACCUUUACGGAUAGGGAGGACCCCGCAGGGGGGAGCGGGGGAGCCCCACGCCCGGCGUCCUCCGGGUGCGAGGGUCUCGGGGAGUCCGAGCCCGGGCCCACGGCCUCUGUCCCGCGGCCACUACCUGCUGGGGGUCCCGGGCCUGGGCCACGCCGGGCUGCCCUCGGGGACUUGCUGCGGCCGUUGAGGGGUCUCCGCGCGCCGCGCAGACUCGCCUCCCAACCCGAGGGCCCGGGCGGCCGCCGCCCAGAGCGUCCAGCGGCAGCGUCUUGCUCUCGAAGGCGUCCUCCACGCAGCGGAACACGCAGCCAAGCUUGGGCCGGGCCAGAGGCCUCGCGGGCUCCUGAGGCUGCCGCGCGGUCACGGCAGGAGCGGGCGACAGAAUCCGGUCUCGGAGCCUCCUGUAGCGAGGUCUGCGCGGCAGGUGCACUGGGCGGACCUGGAGGCCGCGCCCUCCCCCCCCGCCUCCUGCCGCCCGGCAGCGCUGCGCGGAGCUGGCUCUGUCCACGUAGCGGGUGCUGAACGCCCCAUUCUGGCCCCUGGGUGCUCGCUUAGUCCCGGCCACGCGUGGCUGCUCGCCCUCGGGACACACUGGGCGCUGGGAAGGCCGGGCGGGGAGCGCGCACCGGAGAAACCGCUGUGGGAAUCCCGGCCACAUUUCCAGGCCCCUUGGGCCGUCCCACGCCAGACAAGAAAGCCCUGACUCCGAAACCCUGGGCGAGUGUGGAGGGCGCGCGGGGGUGGGGUGUACCCGCCCACGCAAACUGCUGCUGAUCUCCCUUAAAGCCGAGUUAGAGGCUUGGGGCGAGACAGGAGUGACGGGCGAUGCUGUCACUCCAUCUGUCAUUCUACCCAGCCUGCAGCAGCUGAAUUCGAACCCAGAGACUUCAGGCCUUUGCGUUGUUACCGCAGUCCGCAUUUCAAAGCCAGAGUUUGGCCACUGAGUCACCAUGACCUCGAGUACUGGCGGGGCCCGAGCCAGCAGAGCUAGCCACAGGAGGGAGCCUCCCAGGUGGUCGACCGGAGCCAGGUGCUGCCAGGCACCCGACUGCAGAGCUUGCCCUCCAGGUGAUCUCGCAGUAUCGGUGUUCACAAGCCCUGUAAGGCACUCGGGGUAUCCUGAAGGCUACAGAUUCUGCAAGGGCAGAGACUUUAAGGAACAGCCAUAGUCCUUCUCCAGCUCAAAAUCUGGACCAUGGGCACAAGGUUGUCCCGGAACCAUCGAUCUCUAGAAGGUACAGGAGGAAGGGGACCUGCCAGUCCAGCCCUCAUAUUUUACAGAGGGAAAAGGUCGGGGCCCCCAGCCCCACGGGCACGAAGGCACCAGAACCUCGCUAAAAGCUGCAGGGCAGAACCCUCAUCAAUACCACCAUGGGUACCACGUGCAGACGUAGUCGUACAUAUGGAUCAGGAAACAGCAUUCUGAUUGAUGUCAAAACAGAGCCGGAGGAACAGGCCCCUGCCGUCUGUGUGUGCUGGAAAUUUCCACUGGGAUCUCAACUGUUUGGAAACAUAACUCAGUUGGCAAGGAAGACAAGAACCUUCCUGGGGUCCGGAACUCUGCCUGCUUCAGAAUCAACAGAUGAUGAAUGCCACUGGAAGGCUCGGGACCUACAGCCUCAGUUUCCAAAAAUGUGCAUGAGACAAGCAACCCCAGGGUUCUCACACAGGGUGAGCCGCUUGGGAGGGGGUGAGACCCUGCAGUCUGGAUCCUUGCUCUUCCCCAACACCGCCCCACAAAUACACAGAUUCCCAGCUGAUAGGACAUGGAGUGAGGGCCAAGCACAGGACCUUUCCCCAUAUGCUCUUUUGUCUGAGAAACUUUAGCCAAACAUUUUCAAACCAAACAGAAACAAAUGGCAGCCACUAACUCUGCUCACAGUCAAGGUAUUUUUUUCUUGAAGCUCUGAUUUGGGGAAAAUAUGAAACAGACCUUACCCAGACACAGGCUGUGCCUCCUCCUCCCUCUUCCUCCUCUACCCCCUUCAUGGGGUCUCUCUCAACUCUACAGAGGGGACCAGUGCUGUUAUCAACUCCCUGUCUGCCCAGGGCCGCCUCUGAGGUCAUCCUCUCCCCAGCCACCACGGCGGAGCCCCAUGUGGCUCACACGGAUGCUGGAAUGGUCCUCCCAUCCUGGGACAGUCCUCAGGCACGUGGUGCUCUGCUCUGGGUCACCCUCCUACUGAUUUUGGCUCUACAGCUCCCUAAUAAAUAAUAAAGGCAGAAGCCACUUUGAUGGUGCAGGUGGCAGGUGGGACAGUGAAGUGGGUGCACAGAAGCGGGUGCACAGGAGCAGGUUCACACACAACCAAAUGCACAGUGUGCACAGACACACACACUACCCAGGGCACAAGAGCAGGUGCACACAUACACGCACACUACCCAGGGCACAGGAGCAGGUGCACACACACAACCAAAUGCACAGUGUGCACACACACGCACUACCCAGGGCACAAGAGCAGGUGCACACACACGCACACUACCCAGGGCACAGGAGCAGGUGCGCACGCACAACCAAAUGCACAGUGUGCACACACACGCACACUACCCAGGACACAGGAGCAGGUGCACACACACCACCAAAUGCAGUGUGCACACACACACACUACCCAGGGCACAAGAGCAGAUGCACACACACCACGGCCAAAUGCACAGUGUGGACACACACACGCACACUACCCAGGACACAGGAGCAAGUGUAUACACACCAUGGCCAAAUGCACAGUGUGCACAGACAUGCACCCUACCCAGGGCACAGGAGCAGGUGCGCACACACGACCAAAUGCACAGUGUGCACACACACACACACUACCCAGGGCACAGGAGCAGGUGUAUACACACCACGACCAAAUGCACAGUGUGCACACACACAUGCACACUACCCAGGGCACAGGAGCAAGUGUAUACACACCAUGACCAAAUGCACAGGCACACUCCCCCCACACACUGGCAUGUGUGCACACACGUGCGCACACUUUCUGCCUGUUCUCCAUGGGUUCCUGGUUUCAUUUUGUAUCUGGUGGCGGCAGCUGUUCUCACAGGCCUCCACAGCGAUGCCCAGCUACCCUUUCUGAAAUCGGCUUCUCUAAUAAUGACAUCCCCUAUUAACGGCCCCAUGGCCAGGCUAGUAAAAGGAUCCAUUAUUGCUUUAACCAAGAUGGUUGCAUUAUAGAUUGCAAGACAGCUGGCCCGCAGGCUGUAAGCUGCUGGCUGAAAAGAAUAAAUUAGACAAUAGAGCAAUAAAGCGGGGAGGGGGACUCAUGGUUUCAAGUCAGUCGUUCAGUUUCUGAGAUUUUGUGCAAAUCACCCAGUAACAUUUGAGAAACACCUUCGCCCUUGGUAAAAACAGAAAGAUUCUAAACAAAGAGCAAAGAGAAAUAGCUCCAAAGCCAAUAGGAACCAGAAAAGAGGUUGGCAUCAUCUCCCAAAGUCGAAGAUUCCAACUCCUAAUGUGACCCAUGAGGAGUCGCGGCACCAGCGCAUCCGGAGACUCCACAGGAAUGUUCAAGAAGCAGCACUCGUAACAAGCAGAAGCCUGGAAAUAACCAAAUGUCCACCAGAGGGGAGGUAAAGCCCCAGCACGAGGUCACAGAUUGGAGGGUGCACAUGGCUGAAUCCCUGCAGAGUGAUUCCAAGCACAAACACCCAAAAAAAUGCCCGUUAACAAAGAUUUCAAACACAAUUAAAGAGUCUGCCUUUUGGAAA
rnacentral:lncRNA from 1 species